GAUGAACGCUGGCGGCGUGCCUAAUACAUGCAAGUCGAGCGAACAGACGAGGAGCUUGCUCCUCUGACGUUAGCGGCGGACGGGUGAGUAACACGUGGAUAACCUACCUAUAAGACUGGGAUAACUUCGGGAAACCGGAGCUAAUACCGGAUAAUAUAUUGAACCGCAUGGUUCAAUAGUGAAAGACGGUUUUGCUGUCACUUAUAGAUGGAUCCGCGCCGCAUUAGCUAGUUGGUAAGGUAACGGCUUACCAAGGCAACGAUGCGUAGCCGACCUGAGAGGGUGAUCGGCCACACUGGAACUGAGCCACGGUCCAGACUCCUACGGGAGGCAGCAGUAGGGAAUCUUCCGCAAUGGGGCAAAACCUGACGGAGCAACGCCGCGUGAGUGAUGAAGGUCUUCGGAUCGUAAAACUCUGUUAUUAGGGAAGAACAAAUGUGUAAGUAACUAUGCACGUCUUGACGGUACCUAAUCAGAAAGCCACGGCUAACUACGUG
rnacentral:rRNA from 1 species